rnacentral:rRNA from 1 species
UACGGAAGGCAGCAGUGGGGAAUAUUGCACAAUGGGCGCAAGCCUGAUGCAGCCAUGCCGCGUGUAUGAAGAAGGCCUUCGGGUUGUAAAGUACUUUCAGUCGUGAGGAAGGUGUUAAGGUUAAUAACCUUAGCAAUUGACGUUAGCGACAGAAGAAGCACCGGCUAACUCCGUGCCAGCAGCCGCGGUAAUACGGAGGGUGCGAGCGUUAAUCGGAAUUACUGGGCGUAAAGGGCACGCAGGCGGUUAAUUAAGUUGGAUGUGAAAUCCCCGGGCUUAACCUGGGAAUGGCAUUCAAGACUGGUUAGCUAGAGUCUUGUAGAGGGGGUAGAAUUCCAUGUGUAGCGGUGAAAUGCGUAGAGAUGUGGAGGAAUACCGGUGGCGAAGGUGGCCCCUGGACAAAGACUGACGCUCAUGUGCGAAAGCGUGGGGAGCAAAC